GACCAAUUAAGAAGUCCCGGUUUAGGUCCUCUUGGAUUAUAAUGAAGACCGACCGAAUCUGACUGAUUUACAACCCGAUCAAUUGAUCCUGGUUCAACCAAUUUGUCCAACAACCAAGUUUCGUUUCUCUCUCUCUCUCUCUCUCUCUCUCUCUAUGAUUCAGCUCUUAAGUGGUAAGGAAUAAGGAUGCAUAAACGGAUUGGUUCAAAAUUCUGGAGAAAUUUGGGAUGACAAUAUUUUUAUGGACCAUCUAAAGCAAAUACAAGCUCAUACUCUUAGAAAUGGCAUUGACCACACAAAAUUUCUCAUUACCAAGCUACUUCAAAUUCCUAACAUCCCUUAUGCUCAGGCACUGUUCGAUCUUAUUCCCAAACCAAGUGGUUUCCUCUAUAACAAACUCAUCCAAGCUUAUUCCUCUCAUGGACCUUUUGAGCACUGUUUCUCCCUUUACAAGCGGAUGCGCCAAGAAAACUGCCCACCGAACCCACAUACUUUCACCUUUCUCUUCACUGCCUGUGCUUCGCUCUCCUCAUUCCCACAAGGCCAAAUGCUCCAUACCCAGUUCAUAAAAUUUGAGUUGGAGUAUGAUCAGUUUAUCUUGACAGCUAUGAUUGACAUGUAUGCAAAAUCAGGCUUAUUAGGCUCAGCACGCCAGGUGUUUGAUGAAAUGAGUAACAGAGAUAUACCCUCUUGGAACUCAAUGAUUACGAGUUAUGCGAGAUGCGGGAAGUUGGUGGAAGCAAGAGAAUUGUUUGCGUUGAUGCCUUCAAGGAAUGUGGUUUCUUGGACUGGUUUGAUAUCUGGUUAUUCUCAGAAUGGACAGUAUGAGGAGGCCCUUGCAUUGUUUACAGAGAUGAUGGAGAAGAAGGAUGCAUGGCCAAAUUUUGUGACCAUAGCAAGUGUCCUUCCUGCUUGUGCUAACCUUGGGGCGAUGGAGAUAGGUGAGAAGAUUGAAGCAUAUGCUAGAGAGAAUGGGUUCAUGAAAAAUAUUUUUGUGAGUCAUGGGUUGUUGGAGAUGUAUGCGAAGUGUGGUAGAAUAGAUAAAGCAAGAAGGAUGUUUGAUGAGAUUGGUAGUGGAAGGAAUUUGUGUUGUUGGAAUACAAUGAUCAUGGGCUUGGCCAUCCAUGGUAGGUGGAAAGAGGGUCUAGAGCUAUUUGACAAAAUGCUGACAUGUGGGACUGUACCAGAUGACAUUACAUUCGUGGGAGUCCUGUUGGCAUGCACUCAUGGAGGCUUGCUUGCACAUGGACGAAAAUUAUUUGAAUCCAUGGAGAGAGACUUCGCUACUACUCCGAAAUUGGAACACUAUGGGUGCAUGGUUGAUCUCUUGGGCCGUGCUGGGGAGUUGAAAGAAGCUUAUGCCCUGAUAAAGAGCAUGCCAAUGAAGCCUGAUGCAGUGAUAUGGGGGACUCUUUUGGGGGCUUGUAGUUUCCAUGGUUCUGUUUAUCUGGCUGAAAAAGCGGCAGAGUCUCUCUUUGAUCUUGAGCCAUGGAAUGCAGGGAACUAUGUGAUCCUUGCAAAUAUAUAUGCAUCAACUGGUCAAUGGGAUGGCGUUGCAAAAGUGAGGAAGCUUAUGAAGUGCAACCAAAUUACAAAGGCAGCAGGAUAUAGUGUAAUUGAAGAGAAUGGAUGCCUUCACAAGUUUAUUGUGGAGGAUAGAUCACAUCCAAGAUCAAAUGAGAUUUAUGAACUGUUAAAUGAGAUUUCAGCAAAGAUGAAGCUACUUGGGUGCGCCAUGAAUUUUGAUUUGGAUGUUGAGAAUGACUGUAUAAUGGAAGGCCAACUCUAGCUUUCUCUGAAUGAGAAUUUCUCAAUAAAAAGGGUCAGAAUUUGUUCUUUUUCUAUAAUCUCUAUAGAGCAUGGCAUGGAGGAGGACUUUAAAGAUCUCUUAUUGUUAAUCCCGUAAUGAGAAACCAAAGGUUGGAAUUUUUGGAUGUCUUUGUGGGAAGUUGCAGAGACAUGGACGGAUUUCAGAUGUUUCUUUUUGGGAAUCCUGUAGCAGGUAUGUGGAUGAGAAUCUAUCAAAAAGAUGUAUGCGUAUGUUGAUCGUUUCUUUUACAAGUUUAUGAGAAUUUAUGAAAGGAAGAGUUUUGAGAAUUUAUUGGUGCAGGCCUCUGGUGUGAUGCAGUUCAAUUGAGCCUCAGAAAAGACUUUAUUUUGGCCCAUGGAUGGGUUUUAUGGGUCUUGGGAUUUUAUAUUUGGGUUUAUUGAUGUAUUCUGGUUCCGUGGCCAUAGCAGUCUGGAUUGAAGGAGUUCAAGUGGUAGAUAUCUACCAAGUAAAACUGCCCCUCAAAAACUUUUAAUUUUAGGACUCGUCACAUCUAAUUGUGGAAAACUGAUAAACGGGAAGACAACCAUUGUUUAAACUUUU